rnacentral:rRNA from 1 species
GACGUAGGAGUCGAGCGUUAUCCGGAUUUACUGGGCGUAAAGCGCGUGUAGGCGGCACGAUAAGUUGGAUGUGAAAGCUCCCGGCUAAACUGGGAGAGGACGUUCAAUACUGUCGAGCUUGAGGAUGGGAGAGGGAGGUGGAAUUCCGGGUGUAGUGGUGAAAUGCGUAGAUAUCCGGAGGAACACCAGUGGCGAAGGCGGCCUCCUGGCCCAUUUCUGACGCUCAGACGCGAAAGCUAGGGUAGCAAACGGG